GGAGAGUUUGAUCCUGGCUCAGGAUGAACGCUGGCGGCGUGCCUAAUACAUGCAAGUCGAACGGAAAAUUCUUGGUACUUGUAUCGAGAGUUUUUAGUGGCGAACGGGUGAGUAACGCGUUGGUGACCUACCCCAAAGUGGGGGAUAACAGAUCGAAAGGUCUGCUAAUACCUCAUGUUGUCAUCGAGUUUAGAAAUCGAUGAUCAAAGGAGCAAUCCGCUUUGGGAGGGGCCUGCGUCCCAUCAGCUAGUUGGUAGGGUAAUGGCCUACCAAGGCGUCGACGGGUAAGGGACCUGAGAGGGUGGCCCCUCACAAUGGAACUGAAACACGGUCCAUACACCUACGGGUGGCAGCAGUAGGGAAUAUUGCACAAUGGGCGAAAGCCUGAUGCAGCAACGCCGCGUGUACGAUGAAGGCCUUCGGGUCGUAAAGUACUUUUCAGGGAGAUGAGAAAGGACAGUAUCCCUGGAAUAAGUCUCGGCUAACUACGUGCCAGCAGCCGCGGUAAAACGUAGGAGGCGAGCGUUAUCCGGAUUUACUGGGUGUAAAGCGCGUGCAGGCGGUUUGAUAAGUUGGAUGUGAAAGCUCCUGGCUCAACUGGGAGAGGUCGUUCAAAACUAUCAGACUAGAGAGUGGUAGAGGAAGAUGGAAUUCCCGGUGUAGUGGUGAAAUGCGUAGAUAUCGGGAGGAACACCAGUGGCGAAGGCGGUCUUCUGGACCAUUUCUGACGCUCAGACGCGAAAGCUAGGGUAGCAAACGGGAUUAGAGACCCCGGUAGUCCUAGCAGUAAACGAUGUGAACUUGGCGUCGGUGGUGUAAAAACCAUCGGUGCCGAAGCUAACGCGAUAAGUUCACCACCUGGGAACUACGGCCGCAAGGUUAAAACUCAAANNGGCCCGCACAAGCAGCGGAGCGUGUGGUUUAAUUCGAUGUUACACGAAGAACCUUACCCGGGUUUGACAUACAAGUGGUAGUGAAACGAAAGUGGAACGACCCUUCGGGGAGCUUGAACAGGUGCUGCAUGGCUGUCGNNAAGUCCGGUAACGAGCGCAACCCUCGCCGUAUGUUACAAGUGUCAUACGGGACCGCCGGUAUCAAGCCGGAGGAAGGUGGGGAUGACGUCAAGUCAGCAUGGCCUUUAUAUCCGGGGCUACACACACGCUACAAUGGCCGGUACAAUGGGUUGCUAAGCCGCGAGGUAGAGCCAAUCCCCAAAGCCGGUCUCAGUUCAGAUCGCAGGCUGCAACUCGCCUGCGUGAAGUUGGAGUUGCUAGUAAACGCGCGUCAGCUAUAGUGCGUUGAAUACGUUCCCGGGGAUUGUACACACCGCCCGUCACGUCAUGGGAGCUGGCAACACCUGAAGCCAGUAGCCUAACCGCAAGGAGGGCGCUGUCGAAGGUGGGGUUGGUGACUGGGACGAAGUCGUAACAAGGUAGGAGUACCGGAAGGUGCGCCUGGAUCACCUCCUUUCUA
rnacentral:rRNA from 1 species